CAAAGGAGUCGCCACUCUGGGAAUUCCUCAGUUUAGGUUAUGCGCUGAUGCUGUGCCCUUUUGUUGUGGUCCUCGGGGGGAUGUUUUUCCUGGCCACGGCCCUCUUCUUCCUAAGCGACAGAGCCAAAGCUGAGCAACAGGUAAACCAACUUAUGAUGCCUCCAACCUCAGUGAAAGUUUAAGACAGCGCUGACAUCUCGGGCAAUGAAGGCAAUCUUUCGUAGCUGCCACUAAACCCCAAAAUGAGCACCUGUGGAAGACACCCCACCCCUCAUCCUCCCCCCUCCUCAUGCUUGGAGCCAGAGGAAAUCCAGACUGUCAGACACAGUGGGUUGGUGGUGUUUCAACAGAAUGAAGGUGUCUGCUGGGCACACAAGGAGCCUUGUAGUUUGCAGAAGCACAGAUGACAACUUGCUCCCAAUCUGGAUGGAUGCUGAUUCUUUCAUCCUCCCAACUCCAAAAAGAGACAUCUGGAGAACUGAAUAUACUUGAUUUUCAUCCAAGGAAGAUACCCACUUCUGCUAACGGAGCAAGCAUCUAACACUAUUUAACACCCUUGCUUUGGUCAGCAAUCCUGUCUUCAGGUAGAGACAUUAUACCAGCCUCUCCAAAGCAGUGCUUUGCCAUCUGAUUAGAGCUCCCCAGAUACGUUUUCUGCUCUUUAAUAAUGUAGUAGGAUACCAUUUUUUUGCUGCAAGACACCAAAAAAAUUGGAUUAGCUGGAUAGGUUUUUUUUUUCCUUUUGCUUUACCUAAGAGUGUCAUUUGCACUAGCAGUUUACUGCUGGAGCUACCUCAGACCUAUCAAUUGGGUUUUUUUGGUCCAGCAUGACUGGAGAUUUAUAAUUUUCCAAGGAGAACAUCAGGGGUUUUUUCCCCAAGUCUUUUGAGAAACGGGGAGACAUGACAGCAAGUGUUUACUAUCAACAGAUCUACCAAUGAUUCUUCAGGCCAAAAAGAAGAAGAAGAAGAAAAUUACUAGAUUGACGAUUUCCAGUGGCAAUAUCCUCCUCACUCUCUUUUUUAAAGAGAGAACGGUUGUUUUUCUGUUUACAAGCUAGAGCGGAGAACGGCCUUAAAAUCCCAUCCUGAAUUUUGCAUAGACAUUAAAGUUCUUUGCUCCUGAUCCUGAGGGAGAUAGAUCAUUUCUGUUUCUGAGAAGGUGGUAGGCAGUUCACCUUUUUGGCUUUGAGAAAGGAUACGUGGCUGCAAAGCCCCGUUAAUCCCAAACAGUCCUCUGUUCAUCUCAUCUCUUUUCCACGAGAUCUCCAGGAAACUGACAGCCUUCCAGAUGUCAAAAGUAGAGAAGGAGCAGAAAUGAGUUCCAUCUGAAAUGGAUCGUGGCUACAGUUAAGUUUCAAACAGCAGAUUUUAAUAAUUUUCCUCACAUACACGUGCCAUGCACACAUACACAAUUUUCAUUAACUCAUCUUCAGCAUGGAUAGUUGCUCCACACUGCAGGACUAUUUCCUUUCCUGCCCCUGUAGAGUUUAUCCAGAUUUGCAUUGCAGCAUCAUUCAAUUCAAUCGCUCUCAUUCUGAAGCUGAAAUGUUGCAGGAUCAGUGUCUGGAAUCUUCCAGCUCCUUCUAAACUUCACCGGCCCUGAUAUGAUCUGCAAAGAAUUGUUCCCUGCUCUCUUUUUAGGAUCCAAUUUAGCAUGUAACUUAUUGUUCUGAAUCAUUGUGGUAGGGAAUCUAAACGGCACUAAAGCAAGCAGACUAACCUAGCACUGGAUCUGAUAAUGCCAGCGAGAGACCUCCCAGCCAAGGAAUAGUCAACAGAUAUCCAACAGAUAUGGCUAGUCCUUCUGAAACUCAAGAUUGCUUGCCGGAAUCCCAUUUAGCAGAAAAGAGCAUUUUGUUUUGGUCCUCUGCUGGCCCAGUGGAAGGUGCCACCUCGAAGGAACCCAAAAAUUGUAAAACUAGGGCAAAAGAUAUCACUGAGGAUGCUAAACCAGGCUUUUGAGAGAAUGAGAGUCAGUGACAAGGCUUGUUGGAGGUUAUACCAAAGUGGACGAAAAAGAUCUUUCUUGAGCAGACACCAAUAAAUAUUGAAAAAGGGCCUCGAUUUUCUAUUGUCUUUGAAUCUAGGUCAUGAAGGGAAGUCAACCAAAUGCUCGGCCCAGCUCUCCUCCUAAAUGAGACGAAUUAGCUUUCAAAGAUCCCAGCAAGAUGGGAAGUGAUGCCACUUCCAACUCCCCAUUCCAUCCCUUCCAGGCAGGCCUGAUUUCGAGGAAUUGGCAUUUUUGUUCUCAGACUUUUCACAAAAAGAGACGUUUUAAUGAUCACUUUGACAAGUGGAAAGCACGGAAGAGUGAUACUAAUGUUUUUCUUGUUAUACAAGGCAGGACUCAAAUUGUUUUUUCUGAUUUUCUUUCAGAAGCAAAAUUGAACAAAUGGCUAUUUUAUUUUUUAAAGGACAGUGAAAUUGAUUAUGGAUCUCAGAGUAUAAAAACAAAGCAGUCAAAUAUAUAUAUAAAUGAAUAUAUAGAUAUAUAUAUAUAUAUGUGUAUACGCAUACAUAAUGUAAAUUAAGAAAUAAAACAUAUUUAAACAGUC